rnacentral:rRNA from 1 species
GACGAACGCUGGCGGCGUGCUUAACACAUGCAAGUCGAACGGAGUGGCAAACGGGUGAGUAACACGUAGACAACCUGCCGACAGGAUGGGGACAACAUUCCGAAAGGAAUGCUAAUACCGAAUGCCUGUCGAUGGGUCUGCGUCUGAUUAGCUAGUUGGUGAGGUAACGGCUCACCAAGGCGACGAUCAGUAGCCGGUCUGAGAGGAUGAACGGCCACAUUGGGACUGAGACACGGCCCAGACUCCUACGGGAGGCAGCAGUGGGGAAUCUUCCGCAAUGGGCGCAAGCCUGACGGAGCAACGCCGCGUGAGUGAAGAAGGUCUUCGGAUCGUAAAGCUCUGUUGACGGGGACGCGGUACCUGUCGAGGAAGCCACGGCUAACUACGUGCCAGCAGCCGCGGUAAUUC